UCAGGUGUUUUUAAGGACAAUUUGUGAUACUUCCUUUAUAUCACAAUAUGGAUUUUUAAUUUGUUUUCCAAAAUUUAAAAUGAAAUCCUAGAGGGAACUUGCCUGGCUGUUAUGUCAUUCCUGGUUCAUAACAAUCAAGUUCCCAAUGUUCCUUGGGAAGAAAGAUGCUGCCAUGCUACUCACUCAGUGAUUCCCAUGGCACAAUAACCAGUGGUUUUUGCAUCAUGACAAGUGUUUCAAAAGAGCAUCACUAUGAAAUUGAGCCCUCAGGGCAGUGAGGGCACAGAAUCCAAUGGAAAUACAAUGCCAAGGAAUUGAAUCCAGCUCACCAUGGUGAGAAUGCUGAUCACACAGCUGUGCCAAGCCCUGCACACAAUGUGUACCUGAGUACACCUAACUGUUUAAGACAAUUCAAGAAAUCAAUUACAAUGGUAACUAGUUUAUUCCAUGGAAGAGCUGUUAGGCAAUUCGAUUUCCCCACACAGGCUAUUGUUCUGGAAGGUGAGAACAAGAGAUAAGCAAGCUUUCUCAGAAGAAAAGGCAAACCAAUAACUGAUAACAUAUUACUAGGUACGACUGUUGAAAAUAGCUAUUUUAUCAGCAAUUUCCAGGAUACCACCACUCAGCAGGUAUGGAUCCAUGCUGAAUCAGGAAUUCAGCUCCUCUGCUGUUGCAAAACUGAGCCUGAAACUUGUUUAUGCAAGACCUAAACAAGCCUUACAAAACUUGGAGAAACAAAGAAAAACUUUCAAAAAUACGUGGUCUUACACUAUCUAAGUACCUGUUUACUCGGCAGCAUUUGCAGAAGCAAAAGGGGAAACACAUUCAAACUUCAUAGAGAUCCCCAACAGCUGUGCCAGAACACCAGGGACUUCUGCAAGGUAAAUAUUUGCUGAGAUAGCAGGAACAAAAUGCUCCAGCAAAUUAAUCAGGAAGGUUUUGGCAAGUUCUCACAGGCACAAGGUGCUUUAAGAUUUGUAGUUCCAACACACCAUUUGGCAAAUACUUUUCUUGUGAUUGCUUUUCAGAACAUUCUCAGCCUCAAAAACAGCUCAGCAUUCCAACCUGCACGUGUCAGAAAGCUCUUCCAGGAGCAAAAUCACACUUUGAAGGCUUAACCAUCUAUGACAGCAAUGCUAGCAUGUAGUAGAAAUGGUUGUUUAAAAAAAAAAAAAUUAGAAAUAAAAAGGAGUAAAGGAAAUAAGAUGAAAAAAAUAACCAAUCCCAAGUUUAACUUAGUAAACAGUUUAAAAGAGCACAGUGACCGAGACUCUUAAAUAGAUCUUGUUCUUGUAACCUCUCAAGAAUCUAUGAAAAUAAUUAUUAGGGUUGCAGCAACAACAAAAAUAAAGUUUUGUAAAUCUUUAGAAGACUUUCAGAGUCAGUAAGGCAUAUUGUGAUAAGUAAAUAGACACAUUUGUUACUCUGCAACAAAUUAAAGAAUGUUCCCUUUAGAAUGUAUUUUUAAAAACUCUAUGAAUACCAGCUCAAGAAGUAAUUCAGUGUGUGAACUUUCAGGUUAGUUAAAGUCACAAGAAACAGUCUCCUAUUCUGAUUUACACCUUGAGGAAACAGGGUUGCAAAUUUUAAGAUGUAUACAGUGCUGAAGAAGGACAAAGUGCGUACAGAUGGAAAUAAACAGCACCCAAGUAUAUGUCAUAAAUAAACCUCAGUCACUAAGAACAGCCAAGAUUGCUACUGUUUCAUACUGUCACUAGCAAAAAAAAGAUCCAAAGGGUGGUUCAAAAUAUUAAAAUUUUUUUGUUAGCCUUUAUUUGUUUACAAAGUGUUGGCAUUCUACUCAAAACAAAAAUGCUAAUUUUUUCAAUUCUGUGUAUGCACCAGACCUAGAAUAACAAAAAUAUAUGGCAUCAUUCUAAAAUCUUUGUGUUUCUCUUUUUUUAUUUAAUGACAAAUUGCAUCACCUAAGAGGAAAUGUGAUGUUUGCAGGAAAAUGGAGAGUCAGCACUUUAAGCAUAUUGAACUUUUAUGGUAGACAAAACCUCAAUUAUUCAUCCUGCCACUGUUUCACCUGAACCAGAUACAUGGAGGCUUGGGAGGCAUCAAAUAGUAAAUAAUGCACAUUUCAGCCACUGCAACUCAGCUCCUCCUAAAAGAGAAUCUAUUCAUCCAUUUGUCCAUGGAAAGGUAUCACUCCCUUGUCUAAAGAGCACAUUAAAGAUCACCUGAGUUGGACACAGCAACAAGAAAAGGAUUUCUUCUCUUUACAAGUGACUUCUAUUUCUGUGGGACCUGUAGAUCACACAGGCACCCAGAUGUGCAUCCCCUGCUUUGCAAGCCCUACUGCUAGAUGAGGAGACUACUUUUGGCAAGCUUCUGGAUGUUUAGAUGUCUUGAAAAAUUGACACUGCCCACAGUAUUCCAGAGAUGUCUGGAAGAACUCAACAAGCACCAUGUAGAGUUGAUCUGCCCAGCGCACAAGGAUUCACAAAAAAUAUGUGCCUCUGAAACCACUUCCCUGAGACCAGUCUGGAGCAUUUUUCCAAUCACAUCUUUUUCAAUAAGGCCUUGUGGAACAGACUGUCUUGCAGGCCUCUUGAGGAACAUUUUUACCACUGCUGCCCUACCUUGUUGGCCUCAGGAGGGACAUUUUUUCCACUGUUGCCAGCACUGCUUGUGUUUUAUGGGAACAAGGACUGGGAGGAGAUGUCUGAAAAUGCCUAAUUUCAUCAGCAAAGGAGGACAGCAGAUAAUUGUGGACAGCCCUGCAUGUACUUUUAAAAUGAGAUAAACAUAAAUUUCAAGCAGAAGGAGAGGAAGAAAGAUAAUGUUGCAAGAAGAUGGGCAAUGGCAAAAUAAUAAAUAAACACAUAUGCACAAUUGUACUGGUAAAGACAGAGGCAGUAAGGGAACUAUUCCAACUUCAGCUGAAUUACAGGUAGAAAACUAGAGAUGAACAAGAGGCCAAUUUUGCCUUUACUUUUUUGAGAGGUGAGGAAAUCCUAAAUCCUUCCACGAACUCCUUCUCACUCAAACUCCCACCACUGGGAGCUCAAAAUUUAGAGAGGUUCCACAAUUCUGGGAUGCAGAUUUAGCUCAUGAGGGAAAGAAUGGGAUCAUCUGGGAAAGAAGUGCACUGCCAAGCACAACUGCAAGUCAGAGCAUCAGUUAGAGGAAGGACCCAUUUAGCUUUCCCCACCCUCAGCCAGUUCUUGUUUUAUACCACCAUACUACACCUAUUGUCAAAAGCCUGCAGCACUGUUAAAGUGCACAGCCAUGGUCACCAAAGGAAUUUUAAGCAGAUCUAGAAUAUAUUCACAGAAAAAUGGUAAUAAAAUGAGUAACGGGCAGAAUUUGUGCCAGAAAGUUCAAUUAUUCUAACAGUUACAUGUAUUGAUCCACAUAAGGGAAUAUCAGCAUUUAAUCUGGUUGAAAUGAAACCAUUUUAUAUAAAAUCCAUUUGUAGAAAACGCCUAGCAAGCACAAAAUGGGCCAGGAAAUAUUUUCAUUUGAAACUACCAUACAUGGAUGAAUUAUCAUUAAUUCAUGUUAAAAAUACAAUUGAGAAAGAACAUUUACCCAUUAUAUGGUAUAGGAAUUAUUUACAUUCUGUUAUUUACACCAUUUGGAAGGCCAUAUUCAGAAAGGGUUUGGGGAUGGAGUUAAGGAAAAACAGAGACCAUAUUGGCCGUUAUUGGCCAUUCCACCUACUUCUAAUUACCCUGCAAGUUUUUAUUUUAAAAUUAUAACUCUGUGAAUACCCAUUACACUGUUAUUCAUAACUGUUAAUCACCUAUUGUUUAACCACUCAGGUACUGAUUAAACAAUAAAUAAGGAAACUUUUACGACUAACACUUAAUCACACUAUCUUUCAAAACACAGCAUGUUCAAGUACCAUUGCCUGAGUCUGGAAAAAUGGGAAAUAUGUUUCAGUGUCUCCAAGCGCUGAAUGAAAUCAGGAGGUAUCUGAAGUCCUUCCUUGGCAAUGGUUGUUCAUUCAGUUUUGUUUAUUUUCUUUUUUUUUUUCUUUUCUCUGCCACACCACUGAUUUAGGAACUUUCAUGGGAGAGAGGUUUUUGAAGGUAAAUAAAUCAAACGUUUUCUGGGAACAGGUAUUCAAGAUAGUAUGCAUUUUUUUUACUCCUCAGCAAUGCUGCAUACUGAUUCUGCAAGUCUUUCAUCAUCCAGUGUUUUAGAAUUUGCAAUAGGAGUUUUGUCAUCAAUGGUACACAGGAAAUAUAUUUCCUCCCUAUUUUGAAAAGACAAUUUGGUUCUAAGUAUUAUGUUAAAACUCCCCUCUCCUUAGCCUGAAGAAAAAUAUCGCUUCUUUUCUUUUAAAAACUAUUGGGUUGGCAAGUACCCUGCUCCUGCAGUGCAUGGAUUGACUCUUCAUUAUAACCUGGCUUUCUUAUUUUUCUCACUGUAAACAAAAGAAUCAAACAAAACCAAAGCAAAACACCUUAUGACUUCAUUUCACUACUUUCCAGUUCUGGGAGACAAUAAACCUUUGCAAAUAUAGCCAAUUAUGUAUAAUCUAGAGCUGGAACACGAGAAAGCAAUGAGGCAAAUGAACAAAUAGGUUAACAGGUAUUUUAAUUUACUGGAAUUUAUAAUAGAGUCUAUUUGAAUAAGCAAAUAUAUCUGCCUGAAGGCUUGUGGGAUUAGGACAUGCAUCUUUAAUUGGAUAGAUUUUCUGUACUUUUGAAUAUUUGCCCAGAUAUUUUCACUGAGGUCAGUUUUCCAGAUUUCCAUAAAUGAGACCUGUGGUUAGUACCUUGCACAGUAUUUCUUUGUAAAUAAAUUUUAGAUCUAAUUUCAAGUCUCCCUCCAUCUACUGGGAGAUUUUCCUAUUAUUAAAAACAGACUCAUGGACUUUUCAUAUCUUUAUUAAAGGUAGAUGAAUAAUUAUAUUAAAAAGGUAUAAUUCACUAUAAAAAUCUUUGAUCUGUUUCUCAUUUCAGUAAGACUGGAAUGGAAGUAUAGCUUUGCCAAUCUGGUUUCAGUGCUAACAUCCUGAGCACAUCUUUAUGAAUAACUGCAAAGAAACAUUUACAUAAUUAAAAAGCUUUUCCUAUAAACAGGCAUUUUUUCUGAAAUGUAUUCAUGAUUACUUCAAUUUGUGCUACAAUUUUUUAUAUGAAUCAAAUAAGGAGUUAUUUCUAAGUGGAUACCAGUUGAUAUUUAAAACAUACAUAUUUCUCUUUUCCCUGAUUUUCCAGGCAAGCAACAUGGUUGUAUCAGCUUCCUUGUUGGCAAAUUACACAGAUGUGCUUUGCCAUAUUUGAAGCUUGUAAAUGAGAAAUUAAUUUUUCACAAAUAUCAAUGCCACUAUGGAUCUAUUGUUCAGCCCCUGCUAUGAAAUGAAAAGGAAUGAAUCUUGUCAGAAGAAAACACCACGUGGAAAAUAUUCUCAGAAGCACAUUAGUGAUACUUACUUGGAAUCAGUUCGAUAUAAUGAACUCAUUAUAUGUCCAUAUCUGAAACCUUAGACAGAUCAAUAAAGUGAGCACAAGCUUUAUGCUCUUGUUACGAAAAAAAAAAAUACCAUUUAAGGACAGCAACAUGUUUUGCAAGUUAGAUAAGUGGAAUAUAUUCACCAAACUGCCAGGAAGGGCAGAAAAAUUAUCCCCACUUGUUUUCCUGUCUUCCCUUGUCCCAUGAUGUGCUACAAGAAUUCUUCUGAAUGAAUGAGCUUCAAAGCCCUUCCAUUGGUUUUAGAAUGGGUAGCCAUUACUACAAAAUCCAGAUAAUAUUUGGGUGAGAUUUAGAUAAAUAUAAAUGUAACACACCUCCAGCUUUUUGGUGUAGCUGAAAUUCCAAAGGGUAACUUGAAGUUUUUGGUCUUUGACUCUUGCCUGGUGCCAGUGUGUUCUCAGAGACUAGACCAAGAAACAAAAAUCUUCUGUCUGUAUGCACACAAAAGUAACUGUGGUUCAACAUCAUCCAUCUCUUCUCCUCAUUAAAAUUAACUAUGAGAAGCCUGUGAAAUCUCACAACUGCAAUCUCAUUGUAGGCUUGAAAAUACAUGAUGCAAAAUACAUUUUCCCUACUACAUCACUGUAUCUUUUUUUUUUCCAUCAGUUUCUGGGCUGCAAAAGAAACUUCCCUUUUUUUUUAACUGAAAGCACAUUGUUCUGUCAUUUCAAAAGAUCCACUGGAUUGUGCAUAUCACAUACAGGAUCUAUUUGAUUUAUAUUUUCCUAGCCAGUCAAUGCUUUCAGAGUGCUUUACUACAUGUUCAUGCUCUGGGGCUAAAUACUGA